rnacentral:rRNA from 1 species
GAUGAACGCUGGCGGCGUGCUUAACACAUGCAAGUCGAACGGGAAACCUUUUAUUGAAGCUUCGGCAGAUUUAGCUGGUUUCUAGUGGCGGACGGGUGAGUAACGCGUGGGUAACCUGCCUUAUACAGGGGGAUAACAACCAGAAAUGGUUGCUAAUACCGCAUAAGCGCACAGGACCGCAUGGUCCGGUGUGAAAAACUCCGGUGGUAUAAGAUGGACCCGCGUUGGAUUAGCUAGUUGGCAGGGUAACGGCCUACCAAGGCGACGAUCCAUAGCCGGCCUGAGAGGGUGAACGGCCACAUUGGGACUGCGACACGGCCCAGACUCCUACGGGAGGCAGCAGUGGGGAAUAUUGCACAAUGGGGGGAACCCUGAUGCAGCGACGCCGCGUGAAGGAAGAAGUAUCUCGGUAUGUAAACUUCUAUCAGCAGGGAAGAUAGUGACGGUACCUGACUAAGAAGCCCCGGCUAACUACGUG